rnacentral:tRNA from 1 species
GGAGGGAUGGCCGAGUGGUUGAAGGCGGCGGUCUUGAAAACCGUUGUCCCGAGAGGGACCGUGGGUUCGAAUCCUACUCCCUCCGCCA